rnacentral:misc_RNA from 1 species
AAGAGUUGUAAAACUCCCUAACCCCUUGUGAACAUUACCUAUUCCUGUUGCUUCGGCAGGCAGCCCCAGGGCGGGGCUUACGGCUCGUACGUCGAGUGUCUGCCGAAGGCAUCCAAAACUCUUAUAAUUUUUAGUUAUCAGAGUCUACAAGAAAAUAAGUUAA